ACAGUGACCUUGUUAUGCAUAUGAACUGAGCUCACUGAUUCCCAGCCAGAACUUUAAUUCACUGCCAAGGAUAAUAAAAUUCAUCAGUGUUCAAGUUUCCAACCAAUAUCAAUGGCCAAGUGUUCAGAGGAACUGUGCAUGCAGUAGGAUGUCAUGUGAAGCUGAAGGAACAGUAGAUACUCAGGCUGCCCACCCUGCAAAUUCAAAGCAGCCUUACUGGAAGGGAAUGCAACUCUGACAAGCCUCUGAUGUCCACAAGAACACACCUCCCUGCUGUCAGGAUCAAGAGGAACAUGAAUUAGGUCAAGUAAGCUAGGACUGCAGAUGAAUGACCGCACCAUUGACUAGACACUGACUGAAGGUUAAGCAGCCUGGAAAGGUGUGGAAAACCACUGCUCAUGACGGGAAAAAUGACUGAAUGCAAGAGGUAGCAGUCAUUGAGUAAAGCACCAUCAGAAUGCAUGUCUCUGAAGAACAGCAGUAACAACCAGGAUGGUCCCUUGCCUGAGCAGUUUUGAACUCAAGAGGUAAAAUAUGCGGGGAGUCUGCAAAAGAAUCACUACCUCUGCCUGGAAGUAUUUGCCAUUUGUUACAACCACUGGCUAGUGUAAACCUCAGCUUAGGUCUACUUUAUCAUCUGUGGAGAGUGCCUGCAAUAUAAGAUUAGUGUUCUCAAAUCUGCCAGCUGCUAAAAACACCACUUUCUGGGUAUUAACAGGACCAUGUCUAACUUUUUACCCUAAUGUGAUAAGACAAAAGCUCGCAUCAUUUAAAUUAACAAACUCAAUUACCAAGUCCUAUGCAGAUAUCAAAGAUGCCAAGAAAUCAGGAAGAAGAGAGAGAACUGCUAAUGUUUACAUAAAUAGAAAAUGACAAAAUUACUAGGGAAAAAGGCAUUUGUGGGCUUCAAAGUGAUUCUCACAAAAAAAAAAGUAAAGCAAGCGAGAGCACAGCAAAUGAAAAGCUCAUAAGAAAGGUUCUUAACAUUGUCAAUGUAAUGGCCUUGCUUUGCAAGAUGGGUUCGCAGAGGCACUACAGGACUCUGUCUGCUAAUACAUUUCUACAGAAUUUUUCUUUUUAUCACGAGUCACUUCUGAUACUCCCUCAUUUGUGUGGACAAAGAGGUGGAGCAUCUGGAAACGAUGAACACAGCUGAAGAAAUUAAGCUAAACU